ACUAAGAUUUUUUCCUAUUUUCUUUAUAGCUUUCUUAUUUAUGUUUAUGACUGAUUUUAAAUUAAUCUUUAUGGGCUGAAGUAGGGGUCAAGAUUAAUUUUCUUCCAUAUGGAUAUCCAGUUGAUCCAGCAUCAUCUGUUUAAAAGACUUUCCCUUUCUCCACUGAAAUAUAUUAGCACUUUUCUUGAGAAUCAACUGACACAAUGUGUGGACUCUCUCGUCCCACUUAUGACACACACGAACUAUCUCA